rnacentral:rRNA from 1 species
UACGUAGGGCGCAAGCGUUGUCCGGAAUUAUUGGGCGUAAAGAGCUCGUAGGCGGCUUGUCACGUCGGUGUGAAAGCCCGGGGCUUAACCCCGGUCUGCAUUCGAUACGGGCUAGCUAGAGUGUGGUAGGGGAGAUCGGAAUUCCUGGUGUAGCGGUGAAAUGCGCAGAUAUCAGAGGAACACCGGUGGCGAAGGCGGAUCUCUGGGCCAUUACUGACGCUGAGGAGCGAAAAGCGUGGGGGGGAGCGAAACAGG